AUUGAACGCUGGCGGCAUGCUUUACACAUGCAAGUCGAACGGCAGCGCGGGGCAACCUGGCGGCGAGUGGCGAACGGGUGAGUAAUACAUCGGAACGUACCCAGAAGUGGGGGAUAACGUAGCGAAAGUUACGCUAAUACCGCAUACGUUCUACGGAAGAAAGUGGGGGACCUUCGGGCCUCAUGCUUUUGGAGCGGCCGAUGUCUGAUUAGCUAGUUGGUAGGGUAAAGGCCUACCAAGGCGACGAUCAGUAGCUGGUCUGAGAGGACGACCAGCCACACUGGGACUGAGACACGGCCCAGACUCCUACGGGAGGCAGCAGUGGGGAAUUUUGGACAAUGGGCGCAAGCCUGAUCCAGCAAUGCCGCGUGAGUGAAGAAGGCCUUCGGGUUGUAAAGCUCUUUUGUCAGGGAAGAAACGGCUGAGGAUAGUACCUUCGGCUAAUGACGGUACCUGAAGAAUAAGCACCGGCUAACUACGUGCCAGCCGCCGCCGUAACAC
rnacentral:rRNA from 1 species